rnacentral:misc_RNA from 1 species
UCCGUGAUAAAGUAGCAUAAUCACUCGCCAUUUAAUUGAUGGAUAGUAUGAAUGGUUGAACGAAUACUCCACUGUCUUAAAGAGAAUUAUAUAAAACUGAAGUAAUAGUCAAGAUGCUAUUUUAAACUGUAAGACGAAAAGACCCUAUAGAGCUUAACUAUACGCUCUUUACUAAAAAUAAGAUAACUAUCUUAAAAAUAAAGAGAAUGGUAGUUUAGUUGGGGCGACUGCCUUCUAAAAUUAACGAAGGUAAGCAAAGUUAAUCUUAAAACUUAUUGUAUAAUCAAAAUAUUUAACAAUUACUAACGUAGGUUAUAUUGACCCGUUGAAGUAGAAGAUAUUAUCAACG